ACCCCAAAACCCGUGUCUGUGUUCUCCCCGCAGCCGAACCCCAGGGCGUGAUCCCUGGCAUCAUCGGGGCCGUGGUGGUGGCUGUGGCCGGGGCCAUUUCCAGCUUCAUCGCCUACCAGAAGAAGAAGCUCUGCUUCAAGGAGAACGUUCAACAGACGCUCCUGGCGAAAUAGAAUAUGGGCGGGAAAACCAAAAAACAAACAAAAAAAACAGCCCAGUGUGUUGGCAGCAGGACUUGCAAGACGUACCUGCUGUAGCUCCAAGGAAUACCUGGGGGUGGGCGGGGCCUGCCACACCUGGACCAGCCCUUCCAGGAGCCACCUCACCUGGAUCAGCCCCACCUGGCCCGGUUCUGCCAGGACCCACCGACACCUGCCCGGACCGGCCCGGUCUCGCCCUUGCCUUUGCUCCAGUUGGAUUCUUGCUCUUCAUCUUCUAUGCAGUUGGCCUGCCUGAGGGUCAGGCGGUGUGGACCUAACCAUUGAGCUUUCCAGGCCCCCAGGAACAUUGCUCUCGCCUCCCUCCUCCUCCCAGGCCCCCCGAGGGGUCUCCACUCGCGUCCGUCACACGCUCGCCCACUCCCCCCCCGUCAUUCGAAUUCCCGGAAUCCGUGUACGCGGAGCCGGGUGCCCGCGGGGCCGCCUGUGGGUGUGCCCGGCCGCUGGCAAAUUUCACACAAAAAAACCCCCAAAAAACGGAGGGAGGGAGCCUUCCAGCCAUUCGUCGAAAGGGUUUUUGUGCCUGAGGAUGGGUUUAAUUUUAUUUUUGUUUUCUACAUCCUAAUAAAAAGGGGUGAGAAGCCA